rnacentral:rRNA from 1 species
UACGUAGGGUGCAAGCGUUGUCCGGAAUUAUUGGGCGUAAAGAGCUUGUAGGCGGUUUGUCGCGUCUGCUGUGAAAUUUCGGGGCUCAACCCCGAACUUGCAGUGGGUACGGGCAGACUAGAGUGUGGUAGGGGAGACUGGAAUUCCUGGUGUAGCGGUGAAAUGCGUAGAUAUCGGGAGGAACACCAGUGGCGAAGGCGACUUCCUGGCCUGUUCUUGACGCUGAGGCGCGAAAGCUAGGGGAGCAAACGGG